AGGCAGAUAUUCGAAAAAAAAAGGAUGAAAAACCCAGCACCCACCCUCGAUUUUGUAUUCGUUUUACCGUUGGAAGACAGAUGCCCUGGGCGAUCACUUAUCACUCAUCUGAUCAAGCGCAGAAGCCUUAGAAUAUUUCUUGCCUUUGAUUUGUUGAGUCGUAUACAAUUUUGGAGAUCAUGGCAUUAAUUCGCCCUUUUCGACCAACAAUUGGAUAUUUUAAUCUCAGUACUUUUAUGAAUUUGUUGUGCUUCGGAGGGUUAUUUGAAUAAUUCUAUUUUUGGUGCGUGGUUACAGACUCGUCUGAUGUUGGCUUCAAUGUUUGUGAGUGCUACGCAUUGAGAGGCUCCUGCAAGCUGCUCGAAAGAUAGGAUUGUCCUGCAUUACGCUGCAAAUUAUGGGUACACUGACCGCGUGGAAGCUAUUCUUCUAGCUCGACAUUUAACAUCUGUUUUAGAUUCCUGGUUGUUAAAUCAAAGGUAGAUAGCUCAAUCACCUAUAUCUGUCACUCUUGCAGAGUAUAGCAGGCCAGCUGAGUUUUGCCAAUGCACCAGGUAGCACAAGUAGCUCAAAAAAUUUCCUGCAUAAGGGUCACAAGAAAACGUGCAUAGAGGCUUGAUAACUACUUGAAAAAAAUCGGUUAUAAGUUCAUCAAGUACUUAGGAAACUUAUUUAUCAUCAUGAACUGGUCCACUACAUCCUAUAUUGUGAAAAGCAGCAUAAAGUGGAUCUGCAACCACCGAAAUUUAUAUGGAGAAUGUUAGAAACAGUGGAUAACGGAGCUAUGAAAUUUGUUAUUUAAUCUCAUGUCUCAAUGUUUUACUGUGCAAUUUUGCUAAUAAAUGGA